UACGUAGGUGACAAGCGUUGUCCGGAUUUACUGGGCGUAAAGAGCGCGCAGGCGGUCGAUCAAGUCGAGUGUGAAAGCCCCCGGCUCAACUGGGGAGGGUCAUUCGAUACUGAUCGACUCGAAGGCAGGAGAGGGUAAUGGAAUUCCCGGUGUAGUGGUGAAAUGCGUAGAUAUCGGGAGGAACACCAGUGGCGAAGGCGACUACCUGGCCUGUUCUUGACGCUGAGGCGCGAAAGCUAGGGGAGCAAACGGG
rnacentral:rRNA from 1 species